CCCUCAGGCACGGCGCUGCAACCCCGCUAUGCCAAGCUCCAUGGUCUCCCCCGGUCCUGCGGCUGCCUCAGGGCCAAGGAUCGGAGGCGAGCGGGGCUGUCACAAGCGGGGAGCCGCGGCGAGUACUCUCCCGUCCCCUCGACAUAGGACAGGCGGCGCAUGGCCCGACGGGAGUUGUAGUCCCUUGCCCCGCCCGCCCGCCUUCAGACGCCAGGCGGUUCUCCGCGAAUAAACUACACUGCCCAGGGCUCCGCACGGCCCCAAUGCCGCGCCGGCUGAGCUACCAUCACCGCGCGAUGCAUUGUGGUACCUGCAGUCUGGUGCUGCUGCUCGGCCCCGCCGGAGGCGCCAUGUUCCUGCGGGAAUUAGCUGUGCUUGGGUGUUAAUAAAACAAAAAAGUGUAUUCUCUAAGGCUGACAGUGUUGUGCUCAAGCUACUCUGGGUUUGUUUUCUUUUUUUUUUUUUUCUAAACCUGUGGUGAGAUCCUGGUUCAGAAGAGCAAGAAUCAGCUGAACCGCAAAACUCCAGCCCAUCAUUCCGUCAGUGUUGAUCCGCCUGCCCUCAGGCGUUGGUGUCCUGCCGUGUUUGUGAAAAGAGUCACGGAGUGCAUAUGAGUCAUCCUGUUAACAGCGUGAGUUUGCAGUGCAACCUACCGACUGACAGGUGGAAUGUGGAGUGCCGCUCUUUAAGAGAAAAUACAAGAAGCGACCCCAAGAAACCUUCCUAUCCCUGGAAGCAUCAGCGGGGGUGCGCGGCAGGGAUCACGUUCAGGAAACGGAGCCUCCCUGCUGACAGACGCCUCGGCUGCAUUUGCCGAUGGAGCUGGGAGCCGUGCCCAGGGCAGGAGCGGAGAUCGCUCCCUCUCACCGGCCUGCAGGAGAAGCGCUACCCGCCCCCAUUCCCGUUCCCGUUCCCGUUCCCUGCAGGUGUCCGCCAGAGGGUGCCCGGCCCACGCCGUUCUCCAGCUCCUGAGCCGAAGGCCAUUUGGCAGCAAAGCAGCAGCAGCCUUUCCUUUAUUUCUUUUUAUUGCCCGUAGAUGUUUCCCAUGACAGCAAAAUCAUAGUACUCAAAGGCUCUGAUUUGCCUCCCAAGUAGGAACCAGGACAGUCUCAAAGCAG
rnacentral:lncRNA from 13 species